rnacentral:rRNA from 1 species
GCAAGUCGAAUGCGAAUCGUCUCUUCGGAGGCGGAGUAGCAUGGCAGACGGGUGAGGAACGCGUAUCUGACCUGACGCUUGAUGGGGGAUAGUCCCGCGAAAGUGGGCAUAAUACCGCAUACGCUCCUUCGGGAGGAAAGCCGGCCUCUAGAUUAUGCCGGUGUCGAGUGAGGGGGAUGCGUCCUAUUAGUUUGUUGGUGGGGUAACGGCCUACCAAGACGUCGAUGGGUCGCUGGUCUGAGAGGAUGAUC